rnacentral:rRNA from 1 species
ACUCAAAUGAAUUGACGGGGGCCCGCACAAGCGGUGGAGCAUGUGGUUUAAUUCGAAGCAACGCGAAGAACCUUACCAAGGCUUGACAUGGGACCGACGGCCGCGGAAACGCGGUUUCCCUACGGGGCGGUCCACACAGGUGGUGCAUGGUUGUCGUCAGCUCGUGUCGUGAGAUGUUGGGUUAAGUCCCGCAACGAGCGCAACCCUUACGUCCAGUUGCCAGCGUGUAAAGGCGGGCAACACUGGAGGGACUGCCGUGGACAACACGGAGGAAGGUGGGGACGACGUCAAAUCAUCAUGCCCCUUAUGUCUUGGGCUACACACGUGCUACAAUGGGGCCUACAGCGUGCUGCAAAGCAGUGAUGCAGAGCGAACCACGAAAAGGCUCCUCAGUUCGGAUUGCAGGCUGCAACCCGCCUGCAUGAAGUCGGAAUCGCUAGUAAUCGCGAAUCAGCAUGUCGCGGUGAAUACGUUCCCGGGCCUUGUACACACCGCCCGU